rnacentral:lncRNA from 1 species
CCUCUUCCCUCUAUAAAGUUUAGCAAAUGGAGCUUCCUCUCAACACAUUGCCAGAAGAUUAAACAACGAAAGGAUCGAAUAAACCGAUAGAUCAACCAUGCCGUCUUGCAAACGGACCACAAGUGUUCCGUGCUUGGUAGCUGUGAUGGUCAUGGUGGUGGUUACAGUGAUGCUGUCUUGCGAUGCCUACAGUCGGUGCAUAUAUAAACGAUCAAGUCUUAAAUCUCUUAUAUGUAUUUUUAUUGUGUGCUAAUACUUUUUUUUCCAUUGUUUGUAGCUUUUUGCGAUGACAUUAUUGGAAAAUGCACCAUGGUGAACUGCAAGGCUCUAUGCAUUAAACAGGGUUUCGGGAAAGAACGUAUCCAUUGCGCAACUGAAGAUAAAUGUUGUUGUGAUUAUGGCCCGAAGUCUAAGCUCAUGGUCAACAUUGUAGACCGCGAUUGAUGGUAUAUUGCAUAUGUUGACAAUAAUAAAUAAA